UCAAGGCAUACAGGAGGCAUCUUGCAGCAGCUCCUGCAGGGGUGCACCUGAAUGGCUUUGGGGUCCUGCACAGCAACAGGAGCAAUUUUGGAAAAACUCAGAACAGCAUGAAAACAAGAGAGUAACGUGGAGAGAAGUACAACUCAAGUUACCAAAACCCUGUAAAAUAAUGAAAUCAGAGAACAGAAGCAAGAAUUUGAUCAACUGUUUCAGGUCAAGUAUGAAGACUAAACAUCUCUACUGCUGAGGGAGAAGAAGGGAAGAAGGACAAGUGCUUGCACCAGGAGCAGGGCAUACAAGAGGUUGCUCAUAAGAUACAAACAAGGCCUCAAAGCCACAGGAAGACUGGAUGAAAACUGUAGCCCAGCAUGUUUUGAUGUCCUAGCUCACCUACUGCAGGAAGAUCAUCAUUGCUCACCGUGCUCACCAUUGGCCUGUUUCUUCCUUGGAAAACUGUCUGCACUGAAAGAACAAGAUGUGGUUGAUAAUCCAUAA
rnacentral:lncRNA from 1 species